CACACCACCAGGAUCCCUCUUAGUGAGCCUCCAAAAAGGAGCAAGUUUCAACAGUCCCGGGCGAGUCGGAGCCCGGGCAUCCUGCCAUCCCUGCAGCGAGGGCAUGGAGGGACAAGGGACAAGGAGCGGGUCUCCCUGACGGGGGAAAAGAAUAGGAUUGAGAUAUCUAAGACCUGAUUUCAAGUUCCAUCUCUGUGUAAUUUAUGAUCUUCCUGGCUUCAAGUCCAGCCCUCUGACAACAAAAGUAGAAAUAAAUAAGGAACCAAAGACA
rnacentral:lncRNA from 1 species